rnacentral:rRNA from 1 species
UACGUAGGUGGCAAGCGUUGUCCGGAUUUACUGGGUGUAAAGGGCGUGCAGCCGGAGAGACAAGUCAGAUGUGAAAUCCGCAGGCUCAACCUGCGAACUGCAUUUGAAACUGUUUCCCUUGAGUAUCGGAGAGGUCAUCGGGAUUCCUAGUGUAGCGGUGAAAUGCGUAGAUAUUAGGAAGAACACCAGUGGCGAAGGCGGAUGACUGGACGACAACUGACGGUGAGGCGCGAAAGCGUGGGGAGCAAACGGG